rnacentral:rRNA from 1 species
GAUCCAACUAGUUGGGGCGGUGGCGACUCUGGACGCGCGCCGGGCCCUUCCUGUGGAUCGCCAGUGCGGUGCC